rnacentral:tRNA from 3 species
CGAGACGUGGCUCAGCUUGGUAGAGCGCUUGGUUCGGGACCAAGAGGUCGCAGGUUCGAAUCCUGUCGUCUCGACCA